UUGGGGGUAAAGCUCAGUGGUAGAGCACUUGCCUAGCAUGUGAGGCCCAGAGUUCAAUCCUCAAUCCACAAU
rnacentral:tRNA from 1 species